UCAGAACGAACGCUGGCGGCGUGCUUAACACAUGCAAGUCGAACGCGAAAGGGACUUCGGUCCUGAGUAAAGUGGCGCACGGGUGAGUAACGCGUAGAUAACCUGUCUUCAUGUCUGGAAUAAUACGCCGAAAGGGGUACUAAUACCGGAUAUUCUUGCUUUUCAUAAGUUAUGCAAGCAAAGGUGGCCUCUGCAUAUGCUACUGCAUGAAGAGGGGUCUGCGUACCAUUAGCUAGUAGGUGGGGUAAUGGCCUACCUAGGCGACGAUGGUUAGCGGGUCUGAGAGGAUGAUCCGCCACACUGGCACUGGAACACGGGCCAGACUCCUACGGGAGGCAGCAGUGAGGAAUAUUGCGCAAUGGGGGAAACCCUGACGCAGCGACGCCGCGUGAGUGAGGAAGGCCUUCGGGUCGUAAAGCUCUGUCAAGAGGAAAGAAGGGUACAAUGGCUAAUACCUGUUGUAUUUGACGGUACCUCUAAAGGAAGCACCGGCUAACUCCGUGCCAGCAGCCGC
rnacentral:rRNA from 1 species